rnacentral:rRNA from 1 species
GACAGAGGGUGCAAACGUUGUUCGGAAUUACUGGGCGUAAAGCGUGCGCAGACGGUUGCGUAAGUCAGAUGUGAAAGCCCCGGGCUCAACCUGGGAAUUGCAUUUGAGACUGCGUAGCUAGGGUGCGGAAGAGGGAAGCGGAAUUUCCGGUGUAGCGGUGAAAUGCGUAGAUAUCGGAAGGAACACCAGUGGCGAAAGCGGCUUCCUGGUCCAGCACCGACGUUCAGGCACGAAAGCGUGGGGAGCAAACAGG